rnacentral:tRNA from 1 species
GUGAUUGUAGCUCAAUCGGAAGAGCGUACGACUGUGAAUCGUAAGGUAGUGGGAUCGAAACCCACCUUUCACCC